rnacentral:rRNA from 1 species
GACGGAGGGUGCUAGCGUUGUUCGGAAUCACUGGGCGUAAAGGGCGCGUAGGCGGCCAGGCAAGUCGGCUUGUGAAAGCCCGGGGCUCAACCCCGGAGGUGCGGCCGGGACUGCUUGGCUGGAGGCCGGAAGAGGAGGGUGGAAUACCCAGUGUAGAGGUGAAAUUCGUAGAUAUUGGGUGGAACACCGGUGGCGAAAGCGGCUCUCUGGUCCGGACCUGACGCUGAGGCGCGAAAGUGUGGGGAGCGAACAGG